AGGUAGUUGGAGAAGGGUUCUUCACCCACCACUGCACAUCUCCGUGGCAGGUGCACUCAGCUCUCCUCGUGCUCAGAGCAGUGACAGAACUGCCCUGGGGAGGCCAUUCACCACACUUUGGAUGAUGAGAGACCACCAAAAAUGCCCAUGGCUUUUGAAGGGAUCCACAUUAUUUUACAGGAAUCUCACAUACUAAGAGAUCAGAAAAUUAUUUAGCAACAACAGAAGGCUGUGAGGUCCAAACACAUCCAUGCCCUGCAUUCCCUUGGAUGAAAGGACUGUGGGCUGAGAAGCUGACCCUGUGGGAUGGCUACCAUUGGUGAUGUUGAUCAAAGGUAUUUGAUCUCACCACCUAGACUGAAAUGGGAUGGCAGCUGGGGAAUCAGACAAAGAGCUACUCAUCCAACAUAAUCACAGCCUACCACGAGGUCUGGUCUCAGUUCAACCAGCGUUCCCUGGAAGAAGUGCUCAGGGUAAUGGUUGUAAUCUUUCGGGCAUUCUGAAGCUGUAAACCCAAGAUCAGCUCCUGCGCUACCUGGAGCAGAAAGUAAUUUGAUUUUCCAUUUCUGGCCUUUGCAGCGAGUUGACUAAAGAACUGUUUUCUGGGAGGAAAUCUGUGAGUGUACAUGCAGGCCCAGACUUUUAUGAAGAUCAGCAGUAUUUCUGCAGAAAUCACUGGACUUAGACCAGGGCAGAGUUGGUGUUAAUGAGAAUGAAAUCCUGCAAAGCCUGGAAGCAAUCCAAAUCUUAUGUCCUUCUGAAGCAUCGUAAUUGAUUCAGAGCCCCUAAAAGUUGUGUUUUAUGGAGAUAGUUACAACUCCUUUUGUUUUUGUCCAUCCUUCUCCUGAAGGUCAGUCUGUUCCUAAAGGGAAGAGACCAACUAUUCCAUCCCUCCACACAGGGGUUGGUUGCCCUCAGUCCUGGCCAUCCCUUUGGUUCCUCUCUCCUCAGCUCUGUCAUGACAGCAAAUGCUCCCCUG
ensembl:lncRNA